GGGUGUGAUCAUACCAGCAUUUGUGCACCGGAUCCCAUCAAAUCUCUAAAGUUAAGCGUGCUUGGUUUAGAUUAUUACUGGGAUGGGUGACCUCCCAAAAAGUCCUAAUGUCACACCCUA
rnacentral:rRNA from 1 species